rnacentral:sRNA from 1 species
CUGGGCGGGGGUGGCGCCCCGCCCUGUGACUGCGCCCCCUAACCCCCAGGGAUGACCGGGAUACUGCUGUGCGCGGCCGGGCUGCCCGUGUGCCUGACGCGGGCCCCCAAGCCCAUCCUGCACCCGCCGCCCGUGAGCAAGAGUGACGUGAAGCCCGUGCCCGGCGUGCCCGGGGUGUGCCGCAAGACCAAGAAGAAGCACCUUAAAAAGAGUAAGAAUCCCGAGGAUGUGGUUCGAAGAUACAUGCAGAAGGUGAAGAACCCACCUGAUGAGGACUGCACAAUCUGCAUGGAGCGGCUGGUCACAGCGUCAGGCUACGAGGGCGUGCUUCGGCACAAGGGCGUGCGGCCUGAGCUCGUGGGCCGCCUGGGCCGCUGCGGCCACAUGUACCACCUGCUGUGCCUCGUGGCCAUGUACUCCAAUGGCAACAAG